rnacentral:rRNA from 1 species
CGCGUAGGCGGUCGGGUAAGUGAGAUGUGAAAUCCUCCGGCUCACCCGGAGACAUGCAUCUCAUACUGCUCGGCUAGAGUACAGGAGAGGAAACGGGAAUUCCAGGUGUAGCGGUGAAAUGCGUAGAUAUCUGGAGGAACACCGGUGGCGAAGGCGCGUUUCUGGCCUGUUACUGACGCUGAUGCGCGAAAGCUAGGGGAGCGAACGGGAUUAGAUACCCCGGUAGUCCUAGCCGUAAACGGUGAACACUAGGUGUGGGGAGUAUCGACCCUCUCCGUGCCGCAGCUAACGCAUUAAGUGUUCCGCCUGGGGAGUACGGUCGCAAGGCUGAA